rnacentral:rRNA from 1 species
ACACUCCUGCGGGAGGCAGCAGUGAGGAAUAUUGGACAAUGGGUGGAAGCCUGAUCCAGCCAUCCCGCGUGCAGGAAGACGGCCCUAUGGGUUGUAAACUGCUUUUAUCUGGGGAUAAACCUACUUACGUGUAAGUAGCUGAAGGUACCAGAAGAAUAAGCACCGGCUAACUCCGUGCCAGCAGCCGCGGUAAUACGGAGGGUGCAAGCGUUAUCCGGAUUUAUUGGGUUUAAAGGGUCCGUAGGCGGACUGAUAAGUCAGUGGUGAAAUCCGACAGCUUAACUGUCGAACUGCCAUUGAUACUGUUAGUCUUGAGUAAGGUUGAAGUGGCUGGAAUAAGUAGUGUAGCGGUGAAAUGCAUAGAUAUUACUUAGAACACCAAUUGCGAAGGCAGGUCACUAAGUCUUAACUGACGCUGAUGGACGAAAGCGUGGGGAGCGAACAGGAUUAGAAACCCCUGUAGUCCC